rnacentral:rRNA from 1 species
UACAGAGGGGGCAAGCGUUGUUCGGAAUUACUGGGCGUAAAGGGCGCGUAGGCGGCCUGCUAGGUCGAACGUGAAAUCCCCGGGCUCAACCCGGGAACUGCGUCCGAUACUGGCAGGCUUGAAUCCGGGAGAGGGAUGCGGAAUUCCAGGUGUAGCGGUGAAAUGCGUAGAUAUCGUAAGGAGGACCAGUGGCGAAGGCGGGUCUCUGGACAGUUCCUGACGCUGAGGCACGAAGGUCAGGGGAGCAAACGGG